UCUAAAAGUUUCCACACUAUUUAAACUAUUCCUCCUUCUCUAGGGUUUGAAACCCACAAAACUUCUUCUUCACUCGAAUUUUCAAAAAAUAGGAUAGUCGAUUGCACACCAUCUUCGUCAAGAAAAGGAAAAGCAAAAAAAUUGCACCCAAUUGGCGAUGCACUUCAGAAGCAGGAACGCUAAUUUGCUUCACUUGAUUUCUCCUAAGUAUUGAGCUUAGGGAAGCCAAUACUAGUACCAGACAUGGCAAAGUCAAUUUAUCAGUUCAUCGCACCUCAGGGCAACAGAAGUAUAAUUAACUAUAUUUGGUGAAACUUAUGGAAAUUCCACAAUUAUAGCACUGACAUAGGUUUGUUGUGCCAAUGAAGAACGGUGACCUCGAUAGUAAAGGGGUUUUCGCUAGUAUUAUUCAAGCUGAAGUAACAAUAGAAGCAUUCAAGUGUAGGAAAAUUCUUAUGAUGCAAUGGGGUAAGGUAUGCAUACACACUAUCCUCCCAAAAUCCCGUUACGGGAUCAAACUGAGUUUUUUGUUGUUGUUGUUGUAAUUGAAAAUGGUGGCCAAAAGUCAAUUUGGCCAUUUGAAGUUAAUGAGGAAGACUUUUGGACAACUAGGAUAUGUAUCAUACAUGAUACUAUAUGAAUACAUUCGAUUUUAUAAAGUUCAAUUUUGUAAAAUUCACAUUUAGUACGCAUCUUGAAAUUAUUUUCGUUAUUAGUUGAA